AUGAGCAAUGAGGCAAUUCAGUAAAAGGCUCUCCCCUCCUUGUGGCAUCAUUGUGAUAUAAGGGGAGAUGUACUCCUAAGAAGGAAGUAAAAGCAGUGGACCAAUGAAGAACCUACUAGUAUCAUAGUAACCUCAAAUGAAUGUCAAGAGCAGGAGUAAUUUGGGGUGGAAGCGAGCCCUGCUAGAUGCAAGCUUGACCUCACAAUUUCUGAAGAGUGGUACAUUAAAAUAAAGGGAAUGAAAUCAGAUAGCAGUUCUGGCUCACCUUGAAGGGAGGAAGAAGAGCCUCACCCUGAAUAUGUAAUAUAAGGAUAAGAUGAAUGGUGGAAGAUACAGCUACAGCAACAUUCAGCGAUUAUUCUUUAGGAUAAUUCAAAUGAACAACCACUAGAUAUCACUACUGGCCAGCAACAAUUCUCUCCAUAAGGGGAUAUUGUGAUCACUGCACAAAAAGAUGUACUGAACAGAAGAAAUGUUGUUGAAGCUUUGAGGCUGAUCGAUCCUCGGGCAUGGAGACAUGGAUGCUGGAAUAAUAAAGAAUACUGCAUUCAUUCAAAACUG